GACGAACGCUGGCGGCGUGCCUAAUACAUGCAAGUAGAACGCUGAAGAGAGGAGCUUGCUCUUCUUGGAUGAGUUGCGAACGGGUGAGUAACGCGUAGGUAACCUGCCUGGUAGCGGGGGAUAACUAUUGGAAACGAUAGCUAAUACCGCAUAAAAUGGAUUAUCGCAUGAUAAUCCAUUGAAAGGUGCAAAUGCAUCACUACCAGAUGGACCUGCGUUGUAUUAGCUAGUUGGUGGGGUAACGGCUCACCAAGGCGACGAUACAUAGCCGACCUGAGAGGGUGAGCGGCCACACUGGGACUGAGACACGGCCCAGACUCCUACGGGAGGCAGCAGUAGGGAAUCUUCGGCAAUGGACGGAAGUCUGACCGAGCAACGCCGCGUGAGUGAAGAAGGUUGUCGGAUCGUAAAGCUCUGUUGUAAGAGAAGAACGAGUGUGAGAGUGGAAAGUUCACACUGUGACGGUAUCUUACCAGAAAGGGACGGCUAACUACGUG
rnacentral:rRNA from 1 species